UACAGGGGGUGCAAGCGUUGUUCGGAAUUACUGGGCGUAAAGCGCGGGCAGGUGGCCUUUUAAGUCCUUUGUGAAAUCCCGGAGCUCAACUCCGGAUGUGCAUAGGAUACUGGAAGGCUUGGGACUGGUAGAGGCGAGCGGAAUUCCUGGUGUAGCGGUGGAAUGCGUAGAUAUCAGGAAGAACACCUGAGGUGAAGACGGGUUGCUGGGCCAACACUGACGCUGAUGCGCGAAAGCCAGGGGAGCAAACGGG
rnacentral:rRNA from 1 species